AGUGAACGCUGGCGGUAGGCCUAACACAUGCAAGUCGAACGGCAGCACAGGAGAGCUUGCUCUCUGGGUGGCGAGUGGCGGACGGGUGAGGAAUACAUCGGAAUCUACUUUUUCGUGGGGGAUAACGUAGGGAAACUUACGCUAAUACCGCAUACGACCUACGGGUGAAAGCAGGGGACCUUCGGGCCUUGCGCGGAUGAAUGAGCCGAUGUCGGAUUAGCUAGUUGGCGGGGUAAAGGCCCACCAAGGCGACGAUCCGUAGCUGGUCUGAGAGGAUGAUCAGCCCAACUGGAACUGAGACACGGUCCAGACUCCUACGGGAGGCAGCAGUGGGGAAUAUUGGACAAUGGGCGCAAGCCUGAUCCAGCUAUACCGCGUGGGUGAAGAAGGCCUUCGGGUUGUAAGGCCCUUUUGUUGGGAAAGAAAAGCAGCAGGUUAAUACCCCGCUGUUCUGACGGUACCCAAAGAAUAAGCACCGGCUAACUUCGUGCCAGCAGCCGCCGUAACAC
rnacentral:rRNA from 1 species